ensembl:lncRNA
CAUGAUAUAGAAGGCAUUAACAUUAUCAAAGUUUGGGCAGGGACACUCCUUAGAAUCACAGAAUCAUUAAGGUUGGAAAAGACCUCUAAGACCAUCCAGUCCAACCCCCAGCCCACCCCCACCGUGCCCACUGACCACGUCCCUCAGUGCCACAUCUCCAUGUUUCUUGAACACCCCCAGGGAUGGUGACUGCACCACCUCCCUGGGCAGCCCGUGCCACUGCAUCACCACUCUUGUUGAGGAGAAAUGUUUCCUAACAUCCAGCCCUUCAUCAGAGUCCUGUUGAGAAUGGCACUGGCCUUGGGGCAGGUGUUUUAGCUGUGCAGGCAGAAGAAGCUAAACAAGGGAAAGAAAUGGAGAAACAAACAAAGAAACAAAAAGCAGUAUUUCAAUUUGAUAAGCAUGCUUUCCCUUGCUUUUUAAUGUUGCUGCAUGGAAAUGUUUUUCCAAACACUCGAAAGCCUGAAAAAAAACUGGCAGGGAAAAGUAGUUUGAAUGAAAUAAAUAAAAUCAUCUUUUGUUCACUUGCCUGACAUCAUGUCUUCAGGAAUUCUGUUUCUCAAAAUCAUUUGAUAGAAAAAUGUCACAAAAACAUUUUUUCAGUCACAAAAAAUGAACGCGAAAGUGAAGGACCGAUCAUUUUUCUUUUAGCUCGAGAUUAAUCUUCAGGUUGAGACUGAAUAUUAAAAAUGUCAUACUAAAUUGCAACUCUUCUGAAAGCUUGGAAGUUUGUAAAAGAAGGAGGCUAUGCUGACAGACGUUUCCGAAACCUAGCUUGUGAAGCCCUCAAAUGAAAAAUCCUACGAAAGGUUUGCCUUCCUGUAUGAGAAGAAAUAACACGUCACAUUUCUAAGGUAAUAAAAGACCAACCGCCCAAGAUCUUCAGACAAAAAGUAGGAUGACAAAGCAGGAGUUGAUUGUUCAGAACCUCAGAACCUUUCCAUCCAAAUGAAUGGGCCUUUCUGAGCGCUUCAGCAUCAAUGCAAACGGCAUAUUUGAACAACACGUUGUUUUCUUGAAGCCGUUCCAAGUAACUUCCACUUCACAGUGCACAUACUGGUUUUGCACAAAGGAAAGACGCAUUCCAUCUCAGCCGUAAGAGCGUGAAUUUGCCAGCUUAUACUGCUGCCAUUUUUGGAAAGUGGUUGUGCUUUAUUGUAUUUCUUUUCAUCGCUAUUUACGGGCUGAUCAGUUUCUGAUAAUGUGGUUACUUGAUCUUUGUGAAAUUACGACCCAUUAUCUAGUUGGGAUGUGUUCUCAGAGGGGGAUUAAAAAGUGCUGUCAGUAAC